rnacentral:rRNA from 1 species
CAGCAAUGCCGCGUGUGUGAAGAAGGCCUUCGGGUUGUAAAGCACUUUUGUCCGGAAAGAAAUCGCGCUGGUUAAUACCUGGCGUGGAUGACGGUACCGGAAGAAUAAGCACCGGCUAACUACGUGCCAGCAGCCGCGGUAAUACGUAGGGUGCGAGCGUUAAUCGGAAUUACUGGGCGUAAAGCGUGCGCAGGCGGUUUUGUAAGACAGGCGUGAAAUCCCCGGGCUUAACCUGGGAAUUGCGCUUGUGACUGCAAGGCUAGAGUGCGUCAGAGGGGGGUAGAAUUCCACGUGUAGCAGUGAAAUGCGUAGAGAUGUGGAGGAAUACCGAUGGCGAAGGCAGCCCCCUGGGACGUGACUGACGCUCAUGCACGAAAGCGUGGGGAGCAAACAGGAUUAGAUACCCUGGUAGUCCACGCCCUAAACGAUGUCAACUAGUUGUUGGGGAUUCAUUUUCUCAGUAACGUAGCUAACGCGUGAAGUUGACCGCCUGGGGAGUACGGUCGCAAGAUUAAAACUCAAAUGAAUUGACGGA